UUGACAUUUAUCCCAGAUCACCAUCUUUUUCAAAUGCAUUUUGAAAAAGAUGGUGAUCUGGGAAAAAUGUCAAG